GAUAGCCUAGUGGUUAAGGCUAUUGAUCGCCAAUCCGGAGAUGACGGGUUCGAUUCCCGUUC
rfam:Aedes albopictus isolate Foshan contig47171, whole genome shotgun sequence.